UAAUACGGGGGGAGCAAGCGUUGUUCGGAUUUACUGGGCGUAAAGGGCGCGUAGGCGGCCAGCACAAGUCAGUUGUGAAAUCUCCGAGCUUAACUCGGAAAGGUCAACUGAUACUGUGCGGCUAGAGUGCGGAAGGGGCAACUGGAAUUCUUGGUGUAGCGGUGAAAUGCGUAGAUAUCAAGAGGAACACCUGCGGCGAAGGCGGGUUGCUGGGCCGACACUGACGCUGAGGCGCGAAAGCCAGGGGAGCG
rnacentral:rRNA from 1 species